rnacentral:sRNA from 12 species
AAUGAUACUUCCGUACUUGGUACGGCUUGCCGGUGGGCGAGCUGAGGAUUUUCGGGCUGGAACAUUUGAUGUCCGUUAAUCCGCAG